UCCUGGCUCAGAUUGAACGCUGGCGGCAUGCCUUACACAUGCAAGUCGAACGGCAGCACGGGAGCAAUCCUGGUGGCGAGUGGCGAACGGGUGAGUAAUACAUCGGAACGUGCCCUGUCGUGGGGGAUAACUAGUCGAAAGAUUAGCUAAUACCGCAUACGACCUGAGGGUGAAAGCGGGGGACCGUAAGGCCUCGCGCGAUAGGAGCGGCCGAUGUCUGAUUAGCUAGUUGGUGGGGUAAAGGCCCACCAAGGCGACGAUCAGUAGCUGGUCUGAGAGGACGAUCAGCCACACUGGGACUGAGACACGGCCCAGACUCCUACGGGAGGCAGCAGUGGGGAAUUUUGGACAAUGGGGGCAACCCUGAUCCAGCAAUGCCGCGUGUGUGAAGAAGGCCUUCGGGUUGUAAAGCACUUUUGUCCGGAAAGAAAUCCCUUGCUCUAAUAAAGCGGGGGGAUGACGGUACCGGAAGAAUAAGCACCGGCUAACUACGUGCCAGCAGCCGCGGUAAUACGUAGGGUGCGAGCGUUAAUCGGAAUUACUGGGCGUAAAGCGUGCGCAGGCGGUUUUGUAAGACAGGCGUGAAAUCCCCGAGCUCAACUUGGGAAUGGCGCUUGUGACUGCAAGGCUAGAGUAUGUCAGAG
rnacentral:rRNA from 1 species